CUGGACACCAUCUUCAGAGUGAGGAAUGAAACUGCAGUGACUCCAAACUCAGGUGAGUUUCAGCUGAUAAACGUCUGAUUAUUCACAGAUCUGAUUCACACUCACUCUUUUCUCUCAUAUUGACUCAUAUUUAUCAUCACUGUGUGUUUGUUGAAUGAAGCAUCUCUCCAGCACUCAGAUCAGCUGUGGUGGCUUCUGGCUGUUUCCAUCAUCAUUGUUCUGCUAUUUCUCUGUUUCUUGCUGCGUAAAAGCAUCUUCAGGACACUGAUGAAGGUCAGAUCUGAUGAUCCUCAUGCAGUGCAGGAAUCUGAGCAGUUCAACGCUCCUGAGAUUAAGGUUUAAUCAACAUCAUGUCUGCUCAAAGCUGAUUUCCAGAACCUUCACCGUCUCUGUUCCUCUCUGUUCAAACCAACACGACUGAUGCUGAACACAUCUGAACCAGUCCACACCAUGAAACACCAAGACCCUCACCACAGACAACUGUUGUGUGUUUCUUCUGCUCGCUUUCUUUGAUCUGGCUUUGAAAUCAACCUGUCAGUUUAAAGGGGGGGUGAAAUGCUCAUUUUCACUCAAUAUCCUGUUAAUCUUGAGUACCUAUAGAGUAGUAC